GUUCUUCUGCUUCUUAUUUCAUUCUCUCUUUUUCUUAACAGUACCUUUCGAGGACUUAUCACAGGAGUUCAUGGCCCUCUCAAAAUUGACAUACUUCGCCAACAUUUCAGCAAACUCUUUGGGGUACUUCUUCAAUAAAAAGAAGAAGAAUUAGCUCUUGCAAAGUCUACCCUUCACUGACAUGAUGGCCAAUUGGUCGAGAUCUCGCAUCUAUAGGGUUGCUGUAUUUAAACAGCUUACAUAGUCCUGAAGUGAUUUCUCCUCUGCUUGAGGUUCACAAGGGAGUCUGAUCCUCAACAUCACCUCUGAUUUCUGAUGAAGUGUAGGUUGAAC
rnacentral:lncRNA from 1 species